AAUUUUCUCCAUAAUUUGCAUUUUCAGACUCUGGUGUGCAGCCACAGUUCGCUUCUCAAUUUCGGAUUUCGUGCAUUCCAUCCAGAUUGUAUAUCUCCACUUUACCAACUGAUGGCCAAUUUUGUGGAGGGCGGUUAUCUUUGAUUAUUUCGGGAGGCUCACUAGCUUGCAAUUCACAUGCAGAAGACUGAGUUUGAUCAUUCAAGUGAAAGAUGUUGAAGGGCAUAAAAAAAUUUACUCGUC